rnacentral:rRNA from 1 species
UACGAAGGGGGCUAGCGUUGUUCGGAAUUACUGGGCGUAAAGCGCACGUAGGCGGACAUUUAAGUCAGGGGUGAAAUCCCGGGGCUCAACCCCGGAACUGCCUUUGAUACUGGGUAUCUCGAGUCCGGAAGAGGUGAGUGGAAUUCCGAGUGUAGAGGUGAAAUUCGUAGAUAUUCGGAGGAACACCAGUGGCGAAGGCGGCUCACUGGUCCGGUACUGACGCUGAGGUGCGAAAGCGUGGGGAGCAAACAGG